rnacentral:rRNA from 1 species
UACGAAGGGGGCUAGCGUUGCUCGGAAUCACUGGGCGUAAAGCGCACGUAGGCGGAUCUUUAAGUCAGAGGUGAAAUCCCAAGGCUCAACCUUGGAACUGCCUUUGAUACUGGGGAUCUCGAGUCCGGAAGAGGUGAGUGGAACUGCGAGUGUAGAGGUGAAAUUCGUAGAUAUUCGCAAGAACACCAGUGGCGAAGGCGGCUCACUGGUCCGGUACUGACGCUG